CAGCAGCCGCGGGAAUACAGAGGGUGCGAGCGUUAAUCGGAUUUACUGGGCGUAAAGCGUGCGUAGGCGGCUUUUUAAGUCGGAUGUGAAAUCCCUGAGCUUAACUUAGGAAUUGCAUUCGAUACUGGGAAGCUAGAGUAUGGGAGAGGAUGGUAGAAUUCAGGUGUAGCGGUGAAAUGCGUAGAGAUCUGGAGGAAUACCGAUGGCGAAGGCAGCCAUCAGCCUAAUACUGACGCUGAGGUACGAAAGCAUGGGGAGCAAACAGGAUUAGAUACCCGUGUAGUCCCUGUCUCUUAUACAC
rnacentral:rRNA from 1 species